rnacentral:rRNA from 1 species
UGAGGAAUAUUGGGCAAUGGGCGAAAGCCUGACCCAGCAACGCCGCGUGGAGGAUGAAGGCUUUAGGGUUGUAAACUCCUUUUGUGGGGGAAAAGAAUGGAUGGUACCCCAAGAAUAAGUCACGGCUAACUACGUGCCAGCAGCCGCGGUAAUACGUAGGUGACAAGCGUUAUCCGGAAUUACUGGGCGUAAAGCGCACGCAGGCGGUCAGAUAAGUCUGAUGUGAAACCUUCUGGCUUAACCAGAAGACGUCGUUGGAUACUGUUUGACUUGAGGCGAUGAGAGGAAUGCGGAAUCCCCGGUGUAAUGGUGGAAUAUGUAGAUAUCGGGGGGAACAUCUGAGGCGAAAGCGGCAUUCUGGCAUUAGCCUGACGCUCAUGUGCGAAAGCGUGGGGAGCAAACGGG